rnacentral:rRNA from 1 species
GAUGAACGCUGGCGGCGUGCCUAAUACAUGCCAGUCGAGCGAACGGACGAGAAGCUUGCUUCUCUGAUGUUAGCGGCGGACGGGUGAGUAACACGUGGAUAACCUACCUAUAAGACUGGGAUAACUUCGGGAAACCGGAGCUAAUACCGGAUGAUAUUUUGAACCGCAUGGUUCAAAAGUGAAAGACGGUCUUGCUGUCACUUAUAGAUGGAUCCGCGCUGCAUUAGCUAGUUGGUAAGGUAACGGCUUACCAAGGCAACGAUGCAUAGCCCACCUGAGAGGGUGAUCGGCCACACUGGAACUGAGACACGGUCCAGACUCCUACGGGAGGCAGCAGUAGGGAAUCUUCCGCAAUGGGCGAAAGCCUGACGGAGCAACGCCGCGUGAGUGAUGAAGGUCUUCGGAUCGUAAAACUCUGUUAUUAGGGAAGAACAUAUGUGUAAGUAACUGUGCACAUCUUGACGGUACCUAAUCAGAAAGCCACGGCUAACUACGUG